rnacentral:rRNA from 1 species
AAUCCUGUUCGCUACCCACGCUUUCGCACCUCAGUGUCAGUACAGAUCCAGGAGGCCGCCUUCGCCACUAGUAUUCUUCAUAAUAUCUACGCAUUCCACCGCUACACUAUGAAUUCUACCUCCCUCUAUCGUACUCUAGUGAGUUAGUUUUGGAUGCAGUUCCUAGGUUGAGCCCAGGGCUUUCACAUCCAACUUAACAAACCACCUACGCGCGCUUUACGCCCAGUAAUUCCGAUUAACGCUUGCACCUUCCGUAUUACCGCGGCUGCUGGCACGGAAUUAGCCGGUGCUUAUUCUGCAGGUAACAUCAAGGUUAUAAGGUAUUAGCUUAUAACUUUUUCUCCCUGCUUAAAGUGCUUUACAACCCGAAGGCCUUCUUCACACACGCGGUAUGGCUGGAUCAGGCUUGCGCCCAUUGUCCAAUAUUCCCCACUGCUGCCUCCCGUAGGAGUCUGGGCCGUGUCUCAGUCCCAAUGUGGCUGAUCGUCCUCUCAGACCAGCUAAAGAUCGUUGCCUUGGUGAGCCUUUACCUCACCAACAAGCUAAUCUUACGCAGGCUCAUCUAGUAGCGAAAGCUUCAAAGAGAGGCCUUCUUUCUCCCGAAGGAGGUAUACGGUAUUAAUCCGGGUUUCCCCGGGCUAUCCCCUUCUACUAGGUAGAUUCCUACGCGUUACUCACCCGUCCGCCGCUGUACUCGUAUCCGAAGAUACUUUCUCGCACGACUUGCAUGUGUUAAGCCUACCGCCAGCGUUCAAUCUGAGCCAGGAUCAAACUCU